CUAAAUGAACACCCUAUUCAAUUUGCAAUCACAACAGCCGCAAGGUCCAAGCCCCCUCCUGCUCCUCACGCCGAAGUCAGCAAGAAUGCCGACGGCGCGCCUCUGCCGGUAAGAAACUUCUCCUUUUCCCUCGUUCUUUCGUUUAUUUGUUUUUAAAAACAAGGAAGAAAAUAAAAAAAGUACAAAACAGUAAAGAGAAAGGAAAAACGGAACCAAUCUCAAUACCUUCAAAACUUUUUUUUAUUCUCUGUUUCUGCUUUCUUCAAUCUUUUGAUACAAAGAAUUUUUUCUCUUUUUUCGUCUGUAUCGUUUUUUACACUGAAAAAUCCCCCCUCAUUACACUGAUCUUUUGUGGCUUUAAAUAGCCGAAAAAAAAGAAAAAUCAAAGACGAAUCUAAUCUGUUGUUUGUUCCUAUUUUGCUGCCCGAUUUUACUUUGUUCCAGUUUGUUGUUGCAGGUGUGGCGCGCAAGGAGCGGCGCGUGGAGAGGAGUGGCGCACGUGGAGGAGGCUCGCCCCGAACCUUGCGGCGGCUGAAAAGGGGAGGCCACAUGCUGCUUAGGGUUUCAAUUUUUGGAUUAGGGCUAGUCUUGCUGGGCCAUACGGGCCCUUUGUGACCUGUUUGGGUUAUUUUAAACCCAGGCCAAAAAUUG
rnacentral:lncRNA from 1 species